ensembl:lncRNA
GGAGACUUCAGCCUCACUCUGAAAAGCCUCCAACUGACUGACACUGGCAGCUACACCUGCUCCAUCAGUGAUGGGAGAGAAGAACUGAGACUUAAAGAUUUACAGCUGAAGGUCAAAGACCAGCAGGUGGAGGUGAAGGUGGAGGAAGGCUUAGAGUUUGUCAUUCUGCCCUGCAAAACAAAACCUGACCUGCCUGAGGACACCAGUGUGGAGUGGACUCACUCUGACCGAGAACUCACAGUGACCCAAGUGCAUUCAAACAACAGUGAUCACCUGAAACAGCUGGACAACCUUUACUGCGGCCGCGGAGAGAUGAACAAAGACCUGCUGAGAACUGGAGACCUCAGUCUGACCCUGAAAUACCCCACAGAGAGAGACAGUGGAGGAUACAUCUGCACCAUCUACAGGGACAAAGACAUCCUGAGACAGAAAGUAGUGCUGCAGGUCAAAGAACCAUUUCUAAUCUGGAACAUUGUUCUUGUGGUUCUCCUGGUUCUUCUUGUGGUUUCUGGAGGUCUUUUAUUUUAUUUCCGGCACUAUUUCAUGUCAGUUUACCAGGUGGAGGUGAAAUCAGGGGUGGAGUCUGUCCUGCUGCCCUGCAAAACCACACUCCGCCUGCCCAAAGACGCUAAAGUGGAGUGGAAGGAUGGUUCUAUGUAUGACAGGAAGGUCCACGUGUAUGAGAACGGCUCUGACCAGCCUAAAAAACAGCAUGAGGAUUACAGAGG